UACGUAGGGGGCAAGCGUUGUCCGGAUUUACUGGGCGUAAAGAGCGUGUAGGCGGCCACGCAGGUCCGUUGUGAAAACUGGAGGCUCAACCUUCAGACGUCGACGGAAACCGUGUGGCUAGAGUCCGGAAGAGGAGAGUGGAAUUCCUGGUGUAGCGGUGAAAUGCGCAGAUAUCAGGAAGAACACCAAUGGCGAAGGCGGGUCUCUGGGCCGAUAUUGACGCUGAGGAGCGAAAGCGUGGGGAGCAAACAGG
rnacentral:rRNA from 1 species